rnacentral:rRNA from 1 species
UACGUAGGGGGCAAGCGUUGUCCGGAAUCAUUGGGCGUAAAGCGCGCGUAGGCGGUCCGAUAAGUCUGCUGUGAAAGUCGGGGGCUCAACCCUCGGAUGCCGGUGGAUACUGUCGGGCUUGAGUGCGGAAGAGGCGAGUGGAAUUCCUGGUGUAGCGGUGAAAUGCGUAGAUAUCAGGAGGAACACCGGUGGCGAAGGCGGCCCUCUGGACGGAUACUGACGCUGAGGCGCGAAAGCGUGGGGAUCAAACAGG